rnacentral:lncRNA from 1 species
UUGCUAGGCCUUCACUUAAGGCUUGGUAGAACUUGGCAGUGAAUCCACCUGGUUCUGAGUUUUUCUUUGCAGAAGAUCACGGAAGUGGAACUGUGCAUCAUUUAGCUUUUCGAGACUGGGUUCUUCUGCUCAACAUCAUGCCUUUGAGAUUUUUCUCAGACAACCCAGGUAUCGUAGAUUGUGCCUCUUUAUUCCUAAGGAGCAUGGCAGCCUCUGUGGUGCUGGUACCAGCGCAUGCUACCUGCUGCCUGUCUUUGACACCGUGUUUGUGAGGAGGAAGAGCCGUUGCCAAGGCCUGGGGACAGCCAUGCUGAGGGACUUCUGUGACACCUUUCAAGGAGACGAAGCUCUGGGUAUCAGUUGUCCGAUCUCUCCUGCAAUGUACAGAGUCCUCAGGCAGUUCCUGUUGACCUGUCCAGGCGAGAGAGGGCGCUUGUGGGAGGUGGAGCCCCCAGGGGCCUGGGGCCAGCGUGUUAACAUCUGGCUCAAGGUUUAUCUUCAGG